AGUCCCGUAGCUCAGAGGUAGAGCGCCGUGCUGAUAACGCGGAUGUGGAUGGUUCGAUACCAUUCGGGACUA
rfam:Aeromonas phage phiAS5, complete genome.